AGUACUUCGCACGGCAGCAAAGAGAAGGAGAUCGCUCUCCUCUAUUUCUGGUGCCGUCUAAGGACAGCACGGUAACAUAUCUCUCCAAUAAUAUGAGCUUGGGUACACGGGGAAACCCAACACCUUGGGAAGAUGGGUUAUAUGGCUAAAUUGAGCGGG
rnacentral:ribozyme from 1 species